rnacentral:rRNA from 1 species
UACGUAGGGUGCAAGCGUUAAUCGGAAUUACUGGGCGUAAAGCGUGCGCAGGCGGUUGUGCAAGACAGAGGUGAAAUCCCCGGGCUUAACCUGGGAAUGGCCUUUGUGACUGCACGGCUAGAGUGUGUCAGAGGGGGGGUAGAAUUCCACGUGUAGCAGUGAAAUGCGUAGAGAUGUGGAGGAAUACCGAUGGCGAAGGCAGCCCCCUGGGAUAACACUGACGCUCAU